rnacentral:rRNA from 1 species
CAGCAGCCGCGGUAAUACGUAGGUGGCAAGCGUUAUCCGGAUUUAUUGGGCGUAAAGAGAGUGCAGGCGGUUUUCUAAGUCUGAUGUGAAAGCCUUCGGCUUAACCGGAGAAGUGCAUCGGAAACUGGAUAACUUGAGUGCAGAAGAGGGUAGUGGAACUCCAUGUGUAGCGGUGGAAUGCGUAGAUAUAUGGAAGAACACCAGUGGCGAAGGCGGCUACCUGGUCUGCAACUGACGCUGAGACUNGAAAGCAUGGGUAGCGAACAGGAUUAGAUACCCUGGUAGUCCAUGCCGUAAACGAUGAGUGCUAGGUGUUGGAGGGUUUCCGCCCUUCAGUGCCGGAGCUAACGCAUUAAGCACUCCGCCUGGGGAGUACGACCGCAAGGUUGAAACUCAAAGGAAUUGACGGGGGCCCGCACAAGCGGUGGAGCAUGUGGUUUAAUUCGAAGCUACGCGAAGAACCUUACCAGGUCUUGACAUCUUGCGCCAACCCUAGAGAUAGGGCGUUUCCUUCGGGAACGCAAUGACAGGUGGUGCAUGGUCGUCGUCAGCUCGUGUCGUGAGAUGUUGGGUUAAGUCCCGCAACGAGCGCAACCCUUGUUACUAGUUGCCAGCAUUAAGUUGGGCACUCUAGUGAGACUGCCGGUGACAAACCGGAGGAAGGUGGGGACGACGUCAGAUCAUCAUGCCCCUUAUGACCUGGGCUACACACGUGCUACAAUGGACGGUACAACGAGUCGCGAACUCGCGAGGGCAAGCAAAUCUCUUAAAACCGUUCUCAGUUCGGACUGCAGGCUGCAACUCGCCUGCACGAAGUCGGAAUCGCUAGUAAUCGCGGAUCAGCAUGCCGCGGUGAAUACGUUCCCGGGCCUUGUACACACCGCCCGUCACACCAUGAGAGUUUGUAACACCCAAAGUCGGUGGGGUAACCUUUUAGGAGCC